rnacentral:misc_RNA from 1 species
AUGAAUAACUUUGGCGCGGUUGUAGCUGGCUCUUAGGAGCAUGUGCACACUCGUCAUCUUUAUCUUUCCACCUGUGCACACUAUGUAGAUCUGGAUAACUCUCGCUCUUCGGAGCGGAAACAAGGAUUGCUGCGUCGCAAGGCCGGCUCUCUUUGAAUUUCCAGGUCCUAUGUCUUUUACAAACCCCAACGAAUAAUGUAGAAUGUAGUCAAUGGGCUCUAAGCCUAUAAAACAAAAUA